rnacentral:tRNA from 1 species
GGGGAUUUAGCUCAGUGGUAGAGCACUUGCCUAGCAAGCACAAGGCCCUGGGUUCGAUCUUCAGCUCCG